GUCUUCUAGAUAGAAUCUAUUAGAAGUCCGGCCUGCCCCGUGAAAACUUCAACGGCCGCGGUAACCUGACCGUGCUAAGGUAGCGUAAUCAUUUGCCCUUUAAUUGUGGGCCAGUAUGAAUGGCCAGACAAGAGCUUAGCUGUCUCAAAAAGAUUUCAUGAAAAUUAACAAUUAGGUGCAAAGGCCUAAAUACUAGUGAAAGACAAGAAGACCCUAUCGAGCUUUAAUCUACACUACUACUUUACAAUAGUUUAGAUUUUUAUUGGGGCAAUAAAGGAGCAACCAAAGCCUCCUUGAUUUUACUCUGAUAAACUAAUUCACAAAGAAACAUCUGACGAUGCGCUUCGGUACAAGCUACCGUAGGGAUAACAGGCUUAUUUCCCUUAAGAGUUCACAUUGACAGGGAAGUUUGGCACCUCGAUGUUGGCUUAGGAAAACAGUUAGAAGCAGCAUUCUAACCCCGUAGGUUUGUUCACCCUUUAAUAUUCU
rnacentral:rRNA from 17 species